CGAGCCCAAGUCUGCGCCCGCGCGGGGCCACGAGGGUCUCGGCGGCACGCGGCCGGGAGCCAGCGAUGGAUCCCGAGGCGUCGUGCGGUGGCGCUAUCUGGCAAAGUCAAGUUCCCCAACUUUCUCUAAGGCUCCAAAUCUGUGGGUGUGUCCCGGGCUGUCUCACUGUCUGCCAAGCGGCGCGGCGCACGCAGAGCCCGGGCCGCCUCAGAGACAAGGCCCGGACUCUGCGGGCGGGGCGCCCGCCACGACCCCCGCCCCGCACCGCCCCCCCCCCCCCCAGCCACUCCGCGGUCGGGCGCGGCGAGUUGAGGAUCUGAAGCCCUUGGGGAGCUCUCCCACCCGAACCCUGGGCACCCACUGGUCAGGCAGGGCUCGCCUUGCAAACUGGACGAGCUGCCGCAGGAGGGGACGAGGAGCCUGAACUCGCAGACCUCCUUAGGCCAUACGUUCCCACCUGACCUGUCCCUUCAGGCCGCGGCACCCCGACGGCAAGGAUCGCUCUGGGACGCUGAGGCUCUGCGGCACCCCUACCCCAUGCACCCAGCACGCCUGGCUCCCUGGCCUCACCUGCUCUUCUGUCCUCCCGGCCACUGCCCAGGCGUCUCCAGCUCUGCCUUCUCCUACCUCCUCUCCACCCCUAAGUGACCCCUGAGCGCCAGACCUGAGCACCACGCUGCAGAAUGUUCAACUCCUCUGGCAGAGCCUGAGGGCCUCCGAAUCCAGCAAGUCCAAAAUCAAGCUCCUGUUCAUCUCUGUCCCAAACCUGUGCCCUCUCCUCCUUCUGGGACUCAGUUAUUGUCCUUACCGCCCACCUUCAUCCAGGAAAUGCACCCACACCCUCCUCCGUCCUUCCCGACAUCCAAAUCGGUAGUGUUACCAAUUCUGCUUCCGGAGCUUCGCUCCUCUCCACCCUGAAGCAGUGUCUCAGGUGGGUUCCUCCUCACAGCUCGUUCCCAUCGUCCCUCCCUCGUCUCUGCCCUGCAACCUCAGUCAAGUUUCUCUGGUCCCCACCAAUGCUAGCAUUCUAGAACACACCUGGCCAUGCUAUUCCCCUACCCCAAAUCCUUUGCUAGCUGUCACCAGACAAGGUAGUUAAAAAGAUUGCCAGGCAAUGGAAAAGAUGCUUGUAAAAUAAUGUGAAACAGAAACAAUAAAAAUAAAAAUAAUAAAUAAUAAAA